UCCGACUUGGAGCCGGCAGUCUCUUAUGAAAUAUACAACAUAAGACAUGGGUUGCGCUCGUUUACGGACUUAACCGAACACCUCAAGGCACGAGCUGACGACGACCAUGCAGCACCUGUCAUCCGGUUCCUUACGGCACCCCUCCAUUUCUGGUGGGUUCCGGAGAUGUCAAGCCUUGGUAAGGUUCCCCGUUUAUUGUCGAAUUAAACCACAUGCUCCACCGCUUGUGUGGGUCCCCGUCUAUUCCUUUGAGUUUUAAUCUUGCGACCGUACUCCCCAGGCGGGAUACUUAACGCGUUAGCUUAGACACAGAAAGGGGUCGAUUCCUUCCUACAUCGAGUAUCCAUCGUUUACGGCGUGGACUAC
rnacentral:misc_RNA from 1 species